GAUGAAGAACGCAGCGAAAUGCGAUAAGUAAUGUGAAUUGCAGAAUUCAGUGAAUCAUCGAAUCUUUGAACGCACAUUGCGCCCUCUGGUAUUCCGGGGGGCAUGCCUGUUCGAGCGUCAUUUGUACCUUCAAGCUUUGCUUGGUGUUGGGUGUUUGUCUCGCCUUUGCGUGUAGACUCGCCUUAAAAUAAUUGGCAGCCGGCGUAUUGAUUUCGGAGCGCAGUACAUCUCGCGCUUUGCACUCAUAACGACAGCGUCCAAAAGUACAUUUUACACUCUUGACCUCGGAUCAGGUAGGGAUACCCGCUGAACUUAAGCAUAUCAAUAAGCGGAGGA
rnacentral:misc_RNA from 1 species